UACGGAGGGUGCGAGCGUUGUCCGGAUUCAUUGGGCGUAAAGAGCUCGUAGGCGGUUCGGUAAGUCGGGUGUGAAAUCUCCGUGCUCAACACGGAGCGGCCACCUGAUACUGCCGUGACUCGAGUCCGGUAGGGGAGUGUGGAAUUCCCGGUGUAGCGGUGAAAUGCGCAGAUAUCGGGAGGAACACCAAUGGCGAAGGCAGCUCGCUGGGACGUGACUGACGCUGAGACGCGAAAGCGUGGGGAACAAACAGG
rnacentral:rRNA from 1 species